ACAAUAGCUGAGUGGUAGAGCAUCUGCUUGGAAUGCAAAGGGCCACAGGUUCAAUCCCUGGCAUCUCCA